UCUUGAUUCCUAACUGAAAAUUCUUAAAGUAUUCCCAUCAUCGAAAUGAAAUGAAGAUUGGGAAUGCUUUAAGAAUUUCAGUUAUGCAUCAAUCA
rnacentral:pre_miRNA from 1 species